GCGUUAUCGGCUUCGCUCGUGCUAGUCACGCCUAGACUCGUUCGAAAAGCGAAACCAAAAUCAUUCCAUGGCGAUGUACGAAGACUGAUGCUCUUGUCGUGGACUUCUUGUGCAAAACGGGCUUCAUUGCAUACAAAACCGAGAACAGUAUAUAAAAAACAAGUUAUUUUGUAAGAAUAAUGUGAAUUAAUUCGUUGAAAGUGGUGUUAGUGUUUUCGUUACAACCAACAGUGAUUUAUACAAAGAAUAUUGUGAAGUGGUGCAAUAGUGUAAAGUAGAUCUGCCACCUGGCUCUGGAUACCAAAGGAUUGUUACAUUUGUGAGAUUAUCACUAAUCACGGUGUGCAGCCCCGCACUAUGCAAGCGCGCUCGCUCGCUAGCGUUUGAUCGAGUAGAAGUAGAUAAUUGGAAGCCCGUCCAUCCCUACCCGACAUGACUAUCCUCCGGUACGUGAGGGUCGCGCUGCGCACGGCAUUCGCGGUCGUGAACAACCUUUACUGCAUCCCCGCUUACGUGGUGUGGAUGAUGGCGCUGCGUCUCACCCGUCCCCUGUACGCACCCCUCUAUUGGAAGAUCGAAGGGCUCAUGUACCACUGGCUCUUGGCGAUGGUGUCGCUGUGGUCGUGGACGGCCGGAUACGAGAGUGAGUACCUUUCGCUACUUACACCGAGCGCCGGCGCGGCGUCCGACUGCUCCACUGACCAGGAAACGAACAUUACGCACUCAACUCACUCGUUAUAACGAACACACACGAACAAUGAUGACGUUAAAUUGUGUGCGAACUUUUACCAUUGUCUCGAUAUUCUAAAAACGGAAUCGUGUGGAGCGUAGGAUUUCCACACAAUACCUGUUUUUGCGGAUGAGAUUAAUUUCCUGCACAUACGAAUCGUUUUGCUUCUCUAAUUAAGUUAGCACGUGCUGUGCGAACAAGGUAAUUGUUAGGAUGAUUUCUUAGACUGACUUCUUAUCUUUAUCAAAGGCUAGCGUUAAGGCAAUAUAGCGAGUUUCUAUUUAAAUUUACUUUAUAAAAUGGGAGCAUAUACCUUAAUGCGUUCGAAA
rnacentral:misc_RNA from 1 species